rnacentral:rRNA from 1 species
GACGAACGCUGGCGGCGUGCCUAAUACAUGCAAGUCGAGCGAGCUUGCCUAGAUGAAUUUGGUGCUUGCACCAAAUGAAACUAGAUACAAGCGAGCGGCGGACGGGUGAGUAACACGUGGGUAACCUGCCCAAGAGACUGGGAUAACACCUGGAAACAGAUGCUAAUACCGGAUAACAACACUAGACGCAUGUCUAGAGUUUAAAAGAUGGUUCUGCUGUCACUCUUGGAUGGACCUGCGGUGCAUUAGCUAGUUGGUAAGGCAACGGCUUACCAAGGCAAUGAUGCAUAGCCGAGUUGAGAGACUGAUCGGCCACAUUGGGACUGAGACACGGCCCAAACUCCUACGGGAGGCAGCAGUAGGGAAUCUUCCACAAUGGACGCAAGUCUGAUGGAGCAACGCCGCGUGAGUGAAGAAGGGUUUCGGCUCGUAAAGCUCUGUUGGUAGUGAAGAAAGAUAGAGGUAGUAACUGGCCUUUAUUUGACGGUAAUUACUUAGAAAGACACGGCUAACUACGUG